GCUAUACAUGCAGUCGAGCGAAUGAUGAGGAGCUUGCUCCUCUGAUUUAGCGGCGGACGGGUGAGUAACACGUGGGUAAUCUGCCUGUAAGACGGGGAUAACUCCGGGAAACCGGGGCUAAUACCGGAUAAUAAGAGAAGAAGCAUUUCUUCUUUUUGAAAGUCGGUUUCGGCUGACACUUACAGAUGAACCCGCGGCGCAUUAACUAAUUGGUGAGGUAACGGCUCACCAAGGCGACGAUGCGUAACCGACCUGAGAGGGUGAUCGGCCACACUGGGACUGAGACACGGCCCAGACUCCUACGGGAGGCAGCAGUAGGGAAUCUUCGGCAAUGGGCGAAAGCCUGACCGAGCAACGCCGCGUGAGCGAUGAAGGGCUUCGGGUCGUAAAGCUCUGUUGUUAGAGAAGAACAAGUACGAAAGUAACUGGUCGUACCUUGACGGUACCUAACCAGAAAGCCACGGCUAACUACGUGCCAGCAGCCGCGGUAAUACGUAGGUGGCAAGCGUUAUCCGGAAUUAUUGGGCGUAAAGCGCGCGCAGGCGGUCUCUUAAGUCUGAUGUGAAAGCCCACGGCUCAACCGUGGAGGGUCAUUGGAAACUGGGAGACUUGAGUGCAGGAGAGAAAAGUGGAAUUCCACGUGUAGCGGUGAAAUGCGUAGAGAUGUGGAGGAACACCAGUGGCGAAGGCGGCUUUUUGGCCUGUAACUGACGCUGAAGCGCGAAAGCGUGGGGAGCAAACAGGAUUAGAUACCCUGGUAGUCCACGCCGUAAACGAUGAGUGCUAGUGUUGGGGGGUUCCACCCUCAGUGCUGAAGUUAACACAUUAAGCACUCCGCCUGGGGAGUACGACCGCAAAGUUGAAACUCAAAGGAAUGACGGGGGCCGCACAAGCAGUGGAGCAUGUGGUUUAAUUCGAAGCAACGCGAAGAAACCUUACCAAGUCUUGACAUCCUUGACCA
rnacentral:rRNA from 1 species